ACGUACGACCAUUCCUAGUGGAAAGCUCGGGAUCCCGUCCGCUCUCCCAUAGAUAAGCCACUAAGGGCCGGAUUAGUAGUUGGGUCGGUGACGACCAGCGAAUCCCCGGUGUUGUACGUU
rnacentral:rRNA from 1 species